UUUUAAGUCUUCCACGUCUAGCAUAUAUAUUUGCAGCAACUUCUCUUAAAAAUUAAUCAUUCACUUAAGAAAUCCUAGGCAGCAUCUAUUUUACAAUAUUAAUGACCUUUUAGUUCUUGGACUAUACAUUUAGUUCCUAAGAAGAUUAAGCAGCAACGUUGAAAUACUUUUAAAGAGAGAAGCUCCUAAGCCAUGGCAAUUCACGGCCAUGACAGCUCUUAAAGCUCACAACCAUGGCAGCCCUUGAAAGCUCACGGCCAGCUCCAAUAUGGUGAAAGGAAGGGAAUUUUAAUUCCAUAAAAGUGUUCUAGGGACUUAAAGGAGCAGCAAGGUUAGAGUUUAAGUUGAAGAAGAUAAAGUGGUGCAAAUGGUGCAAGUUAUUGUAGGGCCGUCCAAAUUAAAUUUGAGACCUUGUCCGUUCGGAAGCACUUCAGAAGGAAAAAGCUUUGGCGUGAAAGUUCGUGACACCUGUUCAGCAUUGAGAGUUAUUUUCAGGUGAUGUUCGGAGUCUCACGGCCGUUUCGAGGCAUUCGUCAAAGGCGUUUGGGUGAGCUAUUUGAGAUCUUGCAACCCAGAGUCUCUCCUUAGAUUUCUGUUGUUCUCUAUCCUUAAACAGAAGUCGUAUCCAGUUUGAGUCUGUUAUCUACUUCAAAUUGUAAACUUCUUAGAAGCUCUUGUAUGAGUCUAGACCAGGUUUUGGGAAUUUCUUAUAAUAAAAGUAUUUAUUCCG